rnacentral:sRNA from 1 species
CCGGCCCUUUCCGCCGUCUCGCAAACGGGCGCUGGCUUCAGGAGAGGAUAACCCAUGGCCGUAAGCGCAGGCACACCGUAGUGCCUGCUAUCACGGCAUUAUCGCCAGCGGUGCUGCCGUGAUGCGGUCUUCGCAAGGACCGCAACAUGAAGGUACGAUGCUUUUGUGUCGUGCUUCUUGUUUCUGGCACGUUGUGUCUUCACGCAGA